GAGGGUGCAGCUCAGUGGCAGAGCAUGUGUUUGGUGUGCACGAGGUCCUGGGUUCAGUCCCCAGUGCCUCCG
rnacentral:tRNA from 1 species